GGGUUGGCUGCACUUUCCCUCUUGUUUUAAUUAAUCACAAGACCUCAUCCAUGGUAAGGAUGAGGUCGCCGGUUCGAGUCCGGCAGGAAGCUCCA
rnacentral:tRNA from 1 species